rnacentral:rRNA from 1 species
UACAGAGGAUGCAAGCGUUAUCCGGAAUGAUUGGGCGUAAAGCGUCUGUAGGUGGCUUUUUAAGUCCGCCGUCAAAUCCCAGGGCUCAACUCUGGACAGGCGGUGGAAACUACCAAGCUGGAGUACGGUAGGGGCGGAGGGAAUUUCCGGUGGAGCGGUGAAAUGCGUAGAGAUCGGAAAGAACACCAACGGCGAAGGCAGCUCGCUGGGACGUUACUGACACUGAGGCGCGAAAGCGUGGGGAGCGAACAGG